rnacentral:rRNA from 1 species
GAUGAACGCUGGCGGCGUGCCUAAUACAUGCAAGUCGAGCGAACGGACGAGAAGCUUGCUUCUCUGAUGUUAGCGGCGGACGGGUGAGUAACACGUGGAUAACCUACCUAUAAGACUGGGAUAACUUCGGGAAACCGGAGCUAAUACCGGAUGAUAUUUUGAAACGCAUGGUUCAAAAGUGAAAGACGGUCUUUCUGUCACUUAUAGAUGGAUCCGCGCUGCAUUAGCUAGUUGGUAAGGUAACGGCUUACCAAGGCAACGAUGCAUAGCCGACCUGAGAGGGUGAUCGGCCACACUGGAACUGAGACACGGUCCAGACUCCUACGGGAGGCAGCAGUAGGGAAUCUUCCGCAAUGGGCGAAAGCCUGACGGAGCAACGCCGCGUGAGUGCUGAAGGUCUUCGGAUCGUAAAACUCUGUUAUUAGGGAAGAACAUAUGUGUAAGUAACUGUGCACAUCUUGACGGUACCUAAUCAGAAAGCCACGGCUAACUACGUG